UUAACGGCUCUGGGUUACUGAAGGUCAGAAGGUCAGGAGUUCAAGCCCCAACACUGCCAAGCUACCACUGUUGGGCCCUCGGGCAACCCUCAGUUGUAUAAAUGAGAAUAACGUAAGUCGCUCUGCAUAAGGUCGUCUGUCAAGUGCCGUAAAUGUAAAUGAAGCUACUAGUUUAUUUAUAUUUUAGGAAACAGAACCAGGUAAAAUCAUUCGAAGAUAUCUAAUAACUAAUAGGCACAAACAAAAAUAACAGCAGGGUUAAUUUAAAACAUUUGGCACACGUGUGUAGAUGAGAACGGUUAUGAAAUGGAGUGAUGUAGCUGAGGUCGAGGAAAUGUCAGAGCCAGAAUUCACACAUCAUGCUGGUACUGAAGAAAAAAAACAACACACCUUCUGCUUUAGGCCACGCCCACUUCGAUAUGGCAUUAUACCCCUAAUGUAUAUUACAAACACGUGAACUUAUCCUCUCACUGUUUUGGAUAAAACCUAAAGCCGUGUCGUAGCGCGGCUGAGUGUCAUUAGGUUUACAAGUAUAAUUGAGUCUUAAAGCCCAACAAGCCUGUGGAGAAAACUUUUUAAGUGAUUCUCAAGAUUUGUAGAGCUACUAUCUUGUGUGAAGUCUUUCCUGUUACAGAUUUUGCAUGCCACUUUUGCAUUCGGAUCGAGUGUUUGACCCCAAGUGCUCCUAGCUUGACCACGGUCAAUGAUCUGAUCACAGAGUGUUUUCAUUUUUCUUUUUUUGGCACAAUUAUUAACGUAAUACGAUCGGAGUAAACGUCACUGUAAAUGACUACAUCGUUAUACCGCACAGCCCAGUACAGAUCCAGUACAAGCCCAGUACAGAUCCAGUACAAACCCAGUACAGAUGCAGUACAAACACAGUACAAGCCCAGUACACGCCCAGCACAAGCCCAGUACAGAUCCAGUACAAGCCCAGUACAGAUCCAGUACAAACCCAGUACAGAUGCAGUACAAACACAGUACAAGCCCAGUACACGCCCAGCACAAGCCCAGUACAGAUCCAGUACAAGCCCAGUACAAGCCCAGCACAAGCCCAGUACAGAUCCAGUACAAACACAGUACAAGCCCAGUACAGAUCCAGUACAAACACAGUACAAGCCCAGUACAGAUCCAGUACAAACACAGUACAAGCCCAGUACAAGCCCAGUACAGAUCCAGUACAAACCCAGUACAAAUCCAGUACAAGCCCAGUACAGAUCCAGUACAAACCCAGUACAAGCCCAGUACAAGCCCAGUACAGAUCCAGUACAAGCCCAGUACAGAUCCAGUACAAACCCAGUACAGAUCCAGUACAAACCCAGUACAAGCCCAGCACAAGCCCAGUACAGAUCCAGCUUCAGAAACACACAAACAUACACUAAGUAAACAGUCAGACUGGGUUAUAGGCUGAUUCUUGCUCCAGGUUUGACCCUUGGUUCUGACUGUGGCUAUGUGGCCCUCAACAAGGCCUCAUGGGAAAUGUAGUAUUUCCUGCACUGGGUCUGUUCGUGCGACAUUAAUGAGACAGAGGUCACAUACACAGCACCGGUGUGUAUUAUAUUACAUGUGGAAUUUAAGACAGUGUGAAUGAACCACAGUCUAGAAGGUCUGUGUGUGUCAGUAUCUGCUAAGAAACAUGUCUUUGUAUGUUAUUAUCACUAAACUCAAACAAUACUGCCAGAAUGUCUUCAUGGUUGCUUCUAAUGCCGUUCCAAAUGCCUCAUCCAGUGCAGAUUGUGUAUUCAGAGGGACUACUCUAGUUACAGAACACACACACACACACACACACACACACACACACACACACACACACAUAUCUACAAGUUAAAUAUGUUCACAUGCAAACAGAUUCCUGACGCCAUCCCCCUUAUCAUCCAUCUGGUCAAAUUCACAGACACACACACACACACACACACACACACACACACACACCAUUGCACUCAUGAGAAUACUUCAGUGCAAGUAUAAGAGCAUGUAUAAUUCAC
ensembl:lncRNA